rnacentral:rRNA from 1 species
UUAGUAACACGUGGGUAAUUAACCCCAUUCACGGGCAUAACUAGUCGAAAGGCUAGGUAAUUCCCGAUGGUCCUAUGUUUUCUAUGAAUUUAUAGGUAAAGGUUUACGUAAGUAUUCCGGAAUGGGAUAAGCCCGCGGCUUAUCAGCUAGUUGGUAGGGUAAUGGCCUACCAAGGCUAUGACGAGUAGGCGGGGUGAGAGCCUGAUCGCCAACAAGGGCACUGAGACACGGGCCCUACUCCUACGGGAGGCUGCAGUCGAGAAUAUUGGACAAUGGGGGAAACCCUGAUCCUGCGACGUCGCGUGCUUGAAGAAGCUCUUCGGGGUGUAAAGAGCUUUUCUGGAGGAAGAAUAUUUAUAUGACGGUACUCCAGGAAUAAGGGGAUGCUAAUUCUGUGCCAGCAGCAGCGGUAACACAGAAUCCCCAAGCGUUAUCCGGAUUUAUUGGGCGUAAAGGGUCCGUAGGCGGUUUAGAAAGUCUUUGGUCAAAUCUUCAGGGCUUAACCUUGAAGCUUCUAAAGAUACUCCUAAACUAGAGAACGUUAGAGGUUGAUGGAACGGUCGGUGUAGGGGUAAAAUCCGUUGAUAUUGACCGGAACACCAAAAGCGAAGGCAAUCAACUGGGACGAUUCUGACGCUGAGGGACGAAAGCGUGGGCAGAGAACGAGAUUAGAUACCUC